CGAAUGUUUAGGCAUACUUUCUGUUUGAUAUUUUGAAAUGGAAAGUAGGAACCCAUUAUGAGGCGUUUUAUAGACAAAAUGGACACGUAAGCAGACAAAAUAAAACUAGUUUUGUGCCCAUCAAGGGUAUUUCAUCCACAUUAUGAUCGCCUAAGUCCAACAUGUAACGAUCAUGAAAAAGGCAGUAGUGAAAGCUAGCAAACAACGUCAGCGUCUAUGUGACGACUCGGAGAGCUGCGGCGUCCCAUCUCUCGGUACACCGGGUACCACUUAUCACGUGACUGUAAAGGAUUGCCAAUUUGGCAAUAAUAAUAUACAGAUCAAGUCAAGCGGGGAUAAAGAAGAGCUCAAAAAAGGUAUGUUGGUUAUUUUCCUUUACAUUGAAUAUAAACAUAGAUGGUUUUAGAUAUUAAAGAUCCUAUAUGUUGUUAUUAAAGUGGUUAACCACACUAAGUGAAGUUAUAUAUACAUGUAUGUACAUAAUUAUGCUAAUAAAACAAUUUUCAAACAUCGAAGAAUAUGUAAAAUAUGUACUGCAAGUAUUUGUACAUAGUAUAUGUAAUAAUUAAAAUAUAUGUGAAAAAUUUGACUUAGACUUUAUAGAAAAUAAUUUUUUAUUACCUCCUUUUAUUUACAUGAAAUGUUAAAUUCGGUAAUAUCUUUGUAACUAAUGCUUUUUUGGAACUUUCAAAAUUGAUAAAUCUUAAUUUGAGCAUCAUAUUUAUGAUAUAAAACCAUAAACAAAUUAUGUUACAGGAUCUUUAAAUUUGAUACGUAAUAAAAAUAUAGUUUAUGUAUUUAAGGUGAACAAUUUUCAAUUCGUAACUAAGUCUAGUUUAGUUUGAUGACAUGAUCAUUACAUCUUAUACAUGUAUGUAUAUCGUGUAUAAACGAUGUUUACAAAGUAAAUACUUUUUACGUCCAUGAUAUUGUCCAUUCAAAUAAGUUGUUUGGGUUACAUUCUUUUAACUUCACACAUUAAUGUUAGAUCAUCUAUAUCAAUUGUAACAGGUCGAGCAUCCUCUUCGUCCAUAGGUGUAUCAAGUUCUUUUUAAAUUUUCUCUAUUUUAGUAAUCUAAUCA